GACGAACGCUGGCGGCGUGCUUAACACAUGCAAGUCGAACGGAAAGGCCCUGCUUUUGUGGGGUGCUCGAGUGGCGAACGGGUGAGUAACACGUGAGUAACCUGCCCUUGACUUUGGGAUAACUUCAGGAAACUGGGGCUAAUACCGGAUAGGAGCUCCUGCUGCAUGGUGGGGGUUGGAAAGUUUCGGCGGUUGGGGAUGGACUCGCGGCUUAUCAGCUUGUUGGUGGGGUAGUGGCUUACCAAGGCUUUGACGGGUAGCCGGCCUGAGAGGGUGACCGGCCACAUUGGGACUGAGAUACGGCCCAGACUCGUACGGGAGGCAGCAGUGGGGAAUAUUGCACAAUGGGCGGAAGCCUGAUGCAGCAACGCCGCGUGCGGGAUGACGGCCUUCGGGUUGUAAACCGCUUUCGCAUGUGACGAAGCGUGAGUGACGGUAAUGGGUAAAGAAGCACCGGCUAACUACGUG
rnacentral:rRNA from 1 species